rnacentral:rRNA from 1 species
CACGUAGGGUGCGAGCGUUGUCCGGAAUUACUGGGCGUAAAGCGUGCGCAGGCGGUUCGUUGUGUCGGUGGUGAAAUCCCCGGGCUUAACCUGGGAAUGGCCAUGGAAACUGGCGAACUGGAGUGCGGCAGAGGGGGGUGGAAUUCCGCGUGUAGCAGUGAAAUGCGUAGAGAUGCGGAGGAACACCGAUGGCGAAGGCAGCCCCCUGGGCUAGCACUGACGCUCAGGCACGAAAGCGUGGGGAGCAAACAGG